rnacentral:lncRNA from 1 species
GCUACCGAAGAAGUGGCUGCCGAAGAAUAGACUUUAACUGAAGCGGUAUUAUAAGACAACAUUCACUAAUUAAAUCUGUAUUUAUAAAUAUACUGUUGCGUUAAAAUGCAUGAUACUCUAUAGUGUAAACAUGAAAAUUUGUAUGAUGAAUUAAUAAAUUAUUCGAUUUA